CAUCAAAUAGCUUAAAGUAAGCAAAAGCCUCUUAAGCUUAGUUAUGUCAGUUAACGAUUGACUUUGAUGA